rnacentral:lncRNA from 1 species
GAGCCUUCACUUUUGAAAAGGGAGCAUCCCUAGAUGUCUACAUUGACUCUAAAUAUGCUUUUCACAUACUUCUCCCCUCACUCUGAUAUUUGGAAGGAGUGCAAAUUCCUUACCUCCAAGGGAACUCAAUUACUAAUGUCCCCUUUAUCUCAGAUCUCCUUCAGUCCUCAAAGCUUCCCACUGCCAUUGGAAUCUCACAUUGUAAAUCCCAUCAGACAGACACCUUAAACUCUCUGCCGAGGACUUACAAUUUCUCUCUACCCUCUUUGCCUCCUGUGAAAUUUUCCCCAAAAACCAAUCCCACUUUCAACCUCCACCCACCUGCUUUCCUUUUACACCAAGCAAGAGGAUAUCUCCCUUGCUCUGAUUAGCUGCUGAAUUUCACCCUUAUGCCCCUGGUCAAGUGGUACAAAUUUCUCUCAAUACUUUCGACAUCUUCUUGGGAUGGGUCAAGGCUUUUCCUUCCACCAAUAAAUAUGCCCCUACAGUGGCCAACAUCCUCCUUGAACACAUUCUUCCCCAAUUGGUCCUCCCCUCCUCACUCCAGUCUCAUAAUGGUCCAAAUUUCCUUCCCAUGUUUCACCAUCUGUAGCUAAGGCACUCAACAUCCCCUGGCAUUUUCAUAUCCCCUACCAUCCCCAGUCCUCUGGCAAGGUGGAGCAUACCAACCAUACAUACCUUGAAGAACAUUCUCACUAAUGAAUUAUAUUUAGAAUCGGAC